AGUACCAUCGAUCAUUCGUUGAUCGGAUAUGGGCCGUUUUUGCGCUCGUUGUUGCGCUGGCCUGAAAUCGAGUUUGCUUUUCGCUUCCGCCCUGUUUUUAAAGGCGUCAUAGUUGACCUUUCGUGGUCAUCUUUCGCCCGAGGGGAGGAAGAAUGAAAGGCGACGACGGUAUCAACCGUUGACCAAUAUUUUCAAAA
rnacentral:misc_RNA from 1 species